AAGAGUUUUAAACUGAUCCAUAUACUCCGUGUCUUCCAGACAAUUGAAAUGUUGAAAAUGUCACAAAACAAGAUAUUUACAGCAUUGAAGUAUCACUCAACGGACUAUUUAUAUGAGUUGGUUCAACACAGAACAUGAUUGCUAUUUCAGUAUUGGAUCAGUGGAAG
rnacentral:lncRNA from 12 species